GCGCUCGUAGCUCAGCCGGAUAGAGCAACUGCCUUCUAAGCAGUCGGUCGCAGGUUCAAGUCCUGCCGAGCGCACCA
rnacentral:tRNA from 2 species